AACGGCCGUACCAUGCUGAAUAUACCGGUUCUCGUUAGAUCACCGAAGUUAAGCAUCAUUGGGCGCGGUCAGUACUUGGGUGGGUGACCACCUGGGACCACUGCGUGCCGUU
rnacentral:rRNA from 1 species